GGAGGCAGCAGUGAGGAAUAUUGGACAAUGGAGGCAACUCUGAUCCAGCCAUGCCGCGUGCAGGAAGACGGCCCUAUGGGUUGUAAACUGCUUUUAUACAGGAAGAAUGGUACCUACGUGUAGGUAUUUGACGGUACUGUACGAAUAAGGAUCGGCUAACUCCGUGCCAGCAGCCGCGGUAAUACGGAGGAUCCAAGCGUUAUCCGGAAUCAUUGGGUUUAAAGGGUCCGUAGGCGGUCUGAUAAGUCAGAGGUGAAAUCCUGCAGCUCAACUGUAGCAUUGCCUUUGAUACUGUUAGACUUGAGUUAUUGUGAAGUAGUUAGAAUGUGUGGUGUAGCGGUGAAAUGCAUAGAUAUCACACAGAAUACCGAUUGCGAAGGCAGAUUACUAACAAUACACUGACGCUGAGGGACGAAAGCGUGGGUAGCGAACAGGAUUAGAUACCCUGGUAGUCCACGCCGUAAACGAUGGAUACUAGCUGUUCGACCAACAUGGGUUGGUUGAGUGGCUAAGCGAAAGUGAUAAGUAUCCCACCUGGGGAGUACGCUCGCAAGAGUGAAACUCAAAGGAAUUGACGG
rnacentral:rRNA from 1 species